rnacentral:rRNA from 1 species
CAGGCUUAACACAUGCAAGUCGAGGGGCAGCAUGGUCUUAGCUUGCUAAGGCCGAUGGCGACCGGCGCACGGGUGAGUAACGCGUAUCCAACCUGCCUUACACUCUUGGACAGCCUUCUGAAAGGGAGAUUAAUACAAGAUGUUAUCAUGAGUAAGCAUUUUCGCAUGAUUAAAGGUUUACCGGUGUAAGAUGGGGAUGCGUUCCAUUAGAUAGUAGGCGGGGUAACGGCCCACCUAGUCUUCGAUGGAUAGGGGUUCUGAGAGGAAGGUCCCCCACAUUGGAACUGAGACACGGUCCAAACUCCUACGGGAGGCAGCAGUGAGGAAUAUUGGUCAAUGGACGAGAGUCUGAACCAGCCAAGUAGCGUGAAGGAUGAAGGUUCUAUGGAUUGUAAACUUCUUUUAUACGGGAGUAAACGAAUCCACGCGUGGAUUUUUGCAUGUACCGUAUGAAUAAGGAUCGGCUAACUCCGUGCCAGCAGCCGCGGUAAUACGGAGGAUCCGAGCGUUAUCCGGAUUUAUUGGGUUUAAAGGGAGCGUAGAUGGGUUGUUAAGUCAGUUGUGAAAGUUUGCGGCUCAACCGUAAAAUUGCAAUUGAUACUGGCAGUCUUGAGUACAGUUGAGGUAGGCGGAAUUCGUGGUGUAGCGGUGAAAUGCUUAGAUAUCACGAAGAACUCCGAUUGCGAAGGCAGCUUACUAACCUGUAACUGACAUUGAUGCUCGAAAGUGUGGGUAUCAAACAGGAUUAGAUACCCUGGUAGUCCACACGGUAAACGAUGAAUACUCGCUGUAGGCGAUAUACAGUCUGCGGCCAAGCGAAAGCAUUAAGUAUUCCACCUGGGGAGUACGCCGGCAACGGUGAAACUCAAAGGAAUUGACGGGGGCCCGCACAAGCGGAGGAACAUGUGGUUUAAUUCGAUGAUACGCGAGGAACCUUACCCGGGCUUAAAUUGCAACCGAAUAUGGCGGAAACGCUAUAGCUAGCAAUAGCGGUUGUGAAGGUGCUGCAUGGUUGUCGUCAGCUCGUGCCGUGAGGUGUCGGCUUAAGUGCCAUAACGAGCGCAACCCUUGCCGAUAGUUACUAACAGGUUAUGCUGAGGACUCUGUCGGGACUGCCAUCGUAAGAUGUGAGGAAGGUGGGGAUGACGUCAAAUCAGCACGGCCCUUACGUCCGGGGCUACACACGUGUUACAAUGGGGGGUACAGAGGGCUGCUACCACGCAAGUGGAUGCCAAUCCCAAAAACCUCUCUCAGUUCGGAUUGAAGUCUGCAACCCGACUUCAUGAAGCUGGAUUCGCUAGUAAUCGCGCAUCAGCCACGGCGCGGUGAAUACGUUCCCGGGCCUUGUACACACCGCCCGUCAAGCCAUGGGAGCCGGGGGUACCUGAAGUGCGUAACCGCAAGGAGCGCCCUAGGGUAAAACUGGUGACUGGGGCUAAGA